rnacentral:rRNA from 1 species
AACGAACGCUGGCGGCAUGCCUAACACAUGCAAGUCGAACGAGACCUUCGGGUCUAGUGGCGCACGGGUGCGUAACGCGUGGGAACCUGCCCUUAGGUUCGGAAUAACUCCCCGAAAGGGGUGCUAAUACCGGAUAAUGUCUUCGGACCAAAGAUUUAUCGCCUUUGGAUGGGCCCGCGUUGGAUUAGCUAGUUGGUAGGGUAAAAGCCUACCAAGGCGACGAUCCAUAGCUGGUCUGAGAGGAUGAUCAGCCACACUGGGACUGAGACACGGCCCAGACUCCUACGGGAGGGAGGAGUGGGGAAUAUUGGACAAGGGGCGAAAGCCUGAUCCAGCAAUGCCGGGUGAGUGAUGAAGGCCGUAGGGUUGUAAAGCUCUUUUACCCGGGAUGAUAAUGACAGUACCGGGAGAAUAAGCUCCGGCUAACUCCGUG